rnacentral:misc_RNA from 1 species
GAAAUGCGAUAAGUAGUGUGAAUUGCAGAAUUCAGUGAAUCAUCGAAUCUUUGAACGCACAUUGCGCCCCUUGGUAUUCCAUGGGGCAUGCCUGUUCGAGCGUCAUCUACACCCUCAAGCACUGCUUGGUGAUGGGCGUCUGUCCCGCCUUCGCGCGCGGACUCGCCCCAACGGCAUUGGCAGCGGUCCCGAUCGCCCUCUCGCGCAGCACAUUUGCGCUUCUCGAGGCGGCGGGUUCGCGUCCACGAAGCCCUUUUUACCACGUUUGACCUCGGAUCAGGUAGGGAUACCCGCUGAACUUAA